rnacentral:rRNA from 1 species
GCCUCACGCCAUAAGAUUAGCCCAAAUGGGAUUAGCUAGUNGGUGAGGUAAUGGCUCACCAAGGCGACGAUCNCUAGCUGGUUUGAGAGGAUGAUCAGCCACACUGGGACUGAGACACGGCCCAGACUCCUACGGGAGGCAGCCAGUGGGGAAUAUUGCACAAUGGGCGCAAGCCUGAUGCAGCCAUGCCGCGUGUGUGAAGAAGGCCUUCGGGUUGUAAAGCACUUUCAG